rnacentral:lncRNA from 1 species
UCAGACUCUGGCAUCAGAACAAGCACAGGAAAGGAGUACAGACAAAGAUUGACUUGCAACAUCCAGAAGGAGCUGUAGAGCCAAAGAGCAUUGUUGGACACCUGCAGAAGAGAUGCUACUGUGAAGGUCACAAGGUCUGCAGACAAUGUGGAGCUAGGCAUACUGAGCCAACAUCAGGAUGACCCCUCCAUACACUUGUAUGCCCAGGUGAAACCUGCUAGACUCAGAAGGGCACAGACUACCUCUUCUUCCCUGUUUCCAAAGGAAUUACAGCACUCUAAACACAGACAGAAAAACAGAGACCAAGUCAUAGAUCAGCAGGCUGAUACAUCUCAGGAUUCUCAUGCUGUGAUUUAUGCCCAGCUGCACAUCAUGACACCAAGACAGGGCAGGCAAACUUCCCUCUUUCCGGGAAGAAUAUGCUGAAUUGAGACCCUUCUCUGUUGUCAACCAGUCCAGAGAGAUCUAGAAUCUACAUUCCGUGGGAGAGGAAGGACUCAGCCAUGUCAGAAAAUGAGAUCUGUCACAGGCACACUGUCAUUGUGCAAAAAUAUCUGGUGUCUAGUGUAUUCUGAGAUCUUCAGGGACUCACCUGAUUAUGUAGUCUGAGAUAAGAAAUAUGCCUGCAUGUUUUAAAUAGGGCAAAUGUUUUGUUAGUAACCAAUGCAUAAAAUGAAGAAAGAAAAUAGGACUG